rnacentral:lncRNA from 1 species
CUCUGCCUGCCCUGCCUCUACAGCUCAGGCUAGGAGCCCACCCUCAUGGUUCCUUUGAGGUGUCCUCUAAUGGCUUUCCUGUAUCAUCCAACAUGGAUGACUACUCCUUUCUUCUGAAAGCCUUUGUGCCUGUGCUUCCCAGACUUCAUCUGCCCAUCUCUGAAACCUUUUUUCUUAAAAUAUUGUUCCAUGAACCCUCCUACUCCAUCCCCAUCAAUAAUGCUCAUUUUGACUCAGCUGUUGUCUUCACCCCCGUAUGCACUUCUGUGGGCAGAGUCCCAGGCAAGGCCCUCCUCAUUCUGCAGUUAGAUGAGCUUCAAUCACUGAAAAUUCCUACCUCUGCUCACCUUCCAGGAUGGCCUUAGUUUAAAAACAAAAACCAGAGUAUAACAAGUGUUAGGCAAGGCUAGGUAGGCCCUUGUGCAUUGCUGGUGGGAAGGUAAAAAACGAAGCAAAACACAACAGAACCACGCACACAAAAACAAAACCCACAUGCUGGAGGAAAUAGUUUUGUAAUUCCGUAAUCAAUUGAACAUAGAAUUACUCAGUGCCUGGGUCUGUUCUUGCUGUUAUCACAAAAUAUCUUAAACUGGAUAAUUUAUAGCAACAGAAAUUUAUUUCUCACAGUCCUGGAGGCUGGGAAGUCCAAGAUCAGGAUACUAACAGAUUUGUUGUCUGGAAAGGGUUCUCUGCUUCAUGGAUUUGACUUCCUGCAGUCCUCAUGUGGUGGAAGGGGUGGGCAACUCCUGGGCACCUCUUUUCUAAGAGUGCUAAUCCUAUUCCAGAGGCUCUGCUCUCAUGACUUUGGCCUUAAAAACAUCAUGCUAAGUGAAAGAAUCCAGACACAAAAGGUCAUAUAGUGUGUAAUUCCAUAAAUCUGAAAUAUCUAGAAUAAGUAAAUCCACAGAACAAAAGCAGAUUAGUGGUUGCUAGGGGUGCUGGGAGAGGGGAAUGGAGAGUGGCAACCCAGGAUUUCUUUCUGGGUAAUAAAUACAUUUUAGAAUUAGGUAGAGGUAAUGGCUGACAAUAUGAAUGUGCUAAGUUCCACUGAACUGUAUACUUUAAAAUGGUUAUUU